UGUGAGUCACUGUCUCAAUGAAGUACUCGUCAAGUAAAAAAAAAACAUUUUAUGGUGAUCGCAAGUGGCUCAUUCUAGUAGCCUUUAGUAGUAUGUACUGGAGUGCUUUUUUUUCAAUUUAGUGUGCUUCAUCUGAAACAGGACACAAAGCGGCUUACUGUCGCCAGGUCAGUCCACGCAGCUCUGCCCUGCACCCAGGUCAGUCCACGCAGCUCUGCCUUGCACCCAGGUCAGUCCAUGCAGCUCUGCCUUGCACCCAGGUCAGUCCACGCAGCUCUGCAUUGCACCCAGGUCAGUCCAUGCAGCUCUGCAUUGCACCCAGGAAUCAACUUGGCGAAAAGCACGGCUAGACUGAGCUUCCAUUGGAUGCCAAGGUACAAGUGAAAGCAGUACUGGGGCAGGAGAGGCACAACAACUUCUAACAAGCAACGGCCUAGUAAGACUAUUCAAGGACCAGAAGUGCUUCAACAUUCAUGGAAUGUAAAGAGGCAUCAGUCUAGUAGAGGAACUCAUGGAACAGAAGGGUCUUGAGGCGUUUCUUGAAGGUGGAGAGGGAGUCUGAUGACUGGACGUGGUUCAGCAGCUCAUUCCACCAUCGGGGAAUCACACAGCAGUACCUUCUGGAGGAACAGCUCUUGCGUGGUGAAGGGAGUUACAACCGGCAUAGGUUUGCUGACUGAACUGAUGAUAAAAACAUUAACCUUCAUUCAGAUAGUCAAAUUUAGUUAGAUUCAUAUUGAGCUCUAUCAACUGUUCAGUGGGUGGGGUCACUGUCUAUACUCUUUAUUUCUUAUUUCCAUUGUUUUCGCAUGAAGAAGAAAUUGAUUAUUCCUGUCACUAUAUUAAACAGAACUAAUCAUUAAAAGGUGUAAUGUUUGGUGAAUAAUUUCCCAUUAAUUAUCCAGCAAACUAUCACUUUUUUUGAGGAUCCAGUAGCUGGGUCAAGUUUAGCAUUAAGGUGAGGAGGUUUGUUGUCAUGUGCAAUAUAAGACAGUCAGUUACACCAUAAAAUGAGACUUAAUGACUGGUGAAGUGGUAGCUGUUUGCUCUAAUCGAAAUGCUAACUGGUACCCUGGUGACUAGUGUUUCUGAAAUGGUUGGUACAUCCAUUGACACAUCCUUUAGGCUGAUAAGGUAACAUCAGGAGACUGUCAGUCACAUGCAAGGCUCUUUUGACCAAUUGCUGCCUUGCAACAUCGCAUGACGACACCAGAUGAUCUAGCUGGAAGUUUAUCAUAUAGCCCAGACUGCACCAUGGGUGGGGGGAGGCCUAACACACUUUAUUCACAAAUUAGUAACACCCACACCACCACUAAUUCUUACUAAAUCAGUAGUAAAGCUGUUCAUCAUUAAGGAAGAGAAAGCUUGCCACGAAUAUGACAUUGUGAAGGAUUUCUGGAAAAUCCAGGUCCUGUCUGGGAUCUCUUUCAAGGAUUUGGAGAAGGUGCCAUUAAUUGUGGAAUCUCGCCUCAUGAAGGCGGAAACAUAUGAAAGGCUUGGGUGACUAGUCUAGGCAAAGACAAAGAGAGCGUAUUAAAAUCUGGUGGUUCUUCUGGUGGCUUAAGACACCGUUGCCGCCUGCUGCAGCGGCUGUACACCGGCAGGAAGUGUGCUUUGGUAGAUAAAGACCUUCAGUCAAGGCAGGUCAACCAAGUCUGUUGAACAACAGACAUGUUUACUCACACCACACAGCCUUUGAUGUGGUAAACCUGGUGUGUCUCCACCACUGAGUAAGGUGUGAGUGUUAAGUGGAAUCAUACUGGAAAAAAAAAUCUUUAAAGGUGGUCCUGGUUUAAAUGAAUAGGGCCUCUGAAAGCUCUCCACUCACUUUUUAAGGGAUCUCCACAAGGUCCAGCUCUAAUCCUAUGACUGCUGUACCUGAAUUUCCCUUGACAAACCAGUGAUCAUUAACAAGAAGGAGAUCAUUUCCAUGGAUUCUAUCAAACCAUCAUCUGCCAAAAUCCAUCUAUGAGAACUAAUGAGGGUCAUUAAUAUUAAGCUCCAUGGAUUUAUCUUAACCAAUUAAAUGUAUCAAACUAUCUGGCAUCACUGAAUUGUAUAAUUGAAUUGUAUAAUUCACAAGAUGUACUCAUUGAAUUGUAUAAUUCCAUUGCGGUUUCAGUAUAAAAAAGUCUCGUUAGAUCCCAAGAAUAUCAGUCAGAAUCCAUUUGUUUUAUUUGUCACUAAAUCGUGUGCCUAACACCUGCCAAACCAAAACCACGCACUACCAAAUAUUAUCUUGAAUGGUCAAUAGGCUCCUGUAAAACUCACAGCCAUAAAGUGAAUAGAACAGGACAAAAUGAGGAAUCGGGAAUAAGAAGUGAGAUGUUUGGAUCCACCAUAGACGACUGUCCGAUGCCUGUUUGUCUCAUUGUGAAAGAGGUGAACAGAAACCUAGCAUAGCCGGAUAUGCGAAAAACCAGGAACUUCCCUCUCUUUGGGGGUCAGCUUUUGUUUUGAAACCCCGUUCAAUCCUGACAGGUGUUACCUGAAACAUAUUUGUGGGAUUUAAUGUGCCUGAGAAAAUGUGUUGCAAAUGGCCCAAUCCGAUACAUGGCGAUAAUUUCAUAUUUACAACUGUCACUAGAUGAACAAGUAAGGGGUAUACUGAAAAUGAACAGAUUAACAUAUUAUUGCAAAAAAUGUGAUUCAUUUUGUUUGUAUUUGCAGGUAAGGCUGCAUUUAUUUAGCAUAAAUAAAACUAUGAUUUAUUAAUAUUUUUGGUGUCCACACUUGAACCAUCCAGCUAUUUAUCUCAGCCAGAGUCACAGGGUUUGGACUUAAACAAUAAAGUGAGAUUAAAUUGUACUUUGCAGCUAUGAAACAUCCACAACAAACGAUGUUCUGCAAUACAUCACUGGGCUGAGCCGUGAUGGUGACCAGAUUUCCUUUUGCUCAACAGAGUUGGAUAAUUCAGGUCCAGACCGGGAUUUUGUUUCAACCGACCAGUUGAAUAUUCUGUGACUGUGACUCUUUAUGCUGAACUGGUUGGUUGAAACUAAAUCUUGGUCUGGACUUUUAAUCUCUGGACCUGAAUUACCCAACUCUGCUGCUCAAUAGUUAUAGAGCUUAGCAGGACCAAGCGAUGGGCCGGUGAGUGUUUGAUUGGCAGGCCAACUUGACACGGAUGCCACCCAAAAAGGAAUGAUUGGUACAGUUCCCUCCCUUCUUAACAAUGUACUGCAUGGGCCAUUGAUCUUAAUGACCGCAUUCUGAGACUGAAAGCCUCAAAAGAGGAAUGGGAGUUUGGCCACGGUUACAAUUUUCAAAGACCCUGUAAAAUCAAUAGAAAUGCCACAGAAACCCUUUUCGAUGGUACAGCUUGUCUGUGGGACAAUGCUUCUCCAGCAGAGGUACAGUAUGGAGACACAAAUGCAUGUUUAUCACAUACAUGUCACUAUGCUAUGCAAUCUAGCAGCGUAUUUGUCUUCUCUAUUCACUACCUGUCUGAAAAAAUAAAUUACCACACUGUAAUAGGCAUGCAGGCCUGUAACAGCCGGAUUCAGCCUU